GAUGAAGAACGUAGCAAAAUGCGAUAAGUAAUGUGAAUUGCAGAAUUCAGUGAAUCAUCGAAUCUUUGAACGCACAUUGCGCCCGCUGGUAUUCCGGCGGGCAUGCCUGUUCGAGCGUCAUUUCAACCCUCAAGCCCCCGGGUUUGGUGUUGGGGAUCGGCUCUGCCCUUCUGGGCGGUGCCGCCCCCGAAAUACAUUGGUGGUCUCGCUGCAGCCUCCAUUGCGUAGUAGCUAACACCUCGCAACUGGAACGCGGCGCGGCCAUGCCGUAAAACCCCAACUUCUGAAUGUUGACCUCGGAUCAGGUAGGAAUACCCGCUGAACUUAAGCGUAUCAAUAAGCGGAGGA
rnacentral:misc_RNA from 1 species